rnacentral:lncRNA from 1 species
AACAUGAGGGAAAAUCUGACACAGGUGCGGAAGAAACAGGUGAUGGCUCUGCCGCUGUGAAUGGGAAGCCUUCCAUUCAAAAGGACGAGACUACUAAUGACAAACUCGGCGUUGGCCAUGAUGCAGAGAAACAACAUUCUCAUGAAACAUAGAAGUGGUUAACAAACACCUAAAGGCGGAUUGAGGAAAAGUGAUCUUUCAGGUUUUAGUAUUUGUGCAGAAAGAAAUGGCCAAGUGGGUUUUUGUAAGUCGUGGAAGCUUACUUCAUGUUCCUUACAUAUUCUUAUGUAUAAACAGAAGGUUUUGCUCUCAUACGACAAUGGUUUUACUCUAGAAGCCUACACUAUGACACUUGUCUUCAUCUGUUAUUAAAAUUUGAAUAGAUAAUGCAUACAGAAACUUUAGAAUGAUUUUGGCGAUGGAUCAAAGGCAACACACCGUAUCCUUCGAUGAUAUCACGUUCUUGGCGUUGUUGUUAAGAAGAAGAACAAAUAGGUACAGCUUCCCAAAUGAUUUGCCCAACGUCAACAUUCAUAAGUAAAUUUUUGUAUUUAUGGAAACAAGAUCACAGCAUUAACACGAAAUCAUUACAAAAUCCCAUAUUUCCAUAAAUCUUUAUGUGAAACGGAAAGUUGAUAUAAACCAGCAUUCACAAGCUUAACAAAUGUUUCCUUUAAAAAGAUAUAUCAUCGAUCUCUUGCCUAAUAUCUUGGGGAAAAAAAACAAUUCUUUCAAAACCCUAUCUCUCUCUCGCCUAAGCCGACAGACGAUCAAUACCGUCUUCUUGCGCUAUCCGCCUGAAACUAUGUAAGUUAAAUACAAACAAGACUAACUAACAUGUUAAAACGCUGAUACAUACAUUGAUAUACUUGAUUGAUAGUGUGCUGGUUGUAAGAAUCGCUGUGCAAGUCAGGAAUGGACAACACACCCUCUGACCAAGCCAUAUCACCUGCAGGUAAAUAAGACAUCUCUGCCGUUACUCUGGAAUGUUCAAUCGGAAGUAAUCCAUAGAUAAAGUUAGGAUGCUAAUAUUAUAAAUCCAUUUCGUAAAAAGUUGUUUUAUUUAAAAUCACAUGUCUCAUUGCAACAGCUACAUAGCUUAAUAGAACAAUGCUAUAUAUAUUUUGAUGAAACUUAGUUUUACUACUUAAUUUAAUAAAUAAAUUUUGUUAUAUAUUUAUCUCUUACAAUACUGUCUGGGUGGUUAAUUAUAUUAUUAGUACAAAUUUGUAUAAAAUUGUAUUUAUUAAAAAAACUUGAAAAUAGUAGCAAUUUGAUUUGACAUAUUUUUUUUUUGUUUAUUGUAUUUUUUAAAUUCUAUUAAAAUAUAAAAAUUAUAACCGGAUUGAUUAGUUUUAGAAUAACAUAGAAUUUAAUAUCCCUUUCGAAUUUAUUUAAACAAGAUUCUUUCUAAAUUGAUAUUUAUGUGAAGGUAUGCAGUAAUAAAUUGUGAUAAUUAUAUUCGUUUAACAUUUAUUUAUUGUUUACUUUAUAAUCAUAGAUAGAUGUUAAAUAUACAAUAUUUUUAUAUUUAUAUUUAUGAAUCAUAGAUGUAAGAUUGACUAUAUUUUUUUAUAUUUAUAUCUACGAAACUCUUUUAAUAAAAACGAAAAGUAAAAAUAUAUAUCUAUAUAGUCAAUGAUAUAGAAUUCAUAUUAAAAAGUUAAAUAACUAUACUAUUAGAGUUUUGUAGGUAAGCCAACUGUAAUAUAAUAUGAAUUCCUUCUCUUUGUAUGAAUGAUAGAUCUUUUGUUUGCACUCGCAGGCCUAAUAAUUGUACUUAAAUAGUAUAUACAUAUAUUAUCAAUUCAAACACCGUUAGAGUAAAUUAUUUUAUUUUAUAAAAUAUUUAAUAGUUAACUAAAUAUUAAUUUUUAAUAUAUGAAAAACUUUUUAAAAAUUAAUAUAAAUAUAAUAUAUUGAAUUAAUAAUUUAUUUUUAUUUUGUUGAUAUGUAAAGAUAUUUGUUGUUAAAUUUAUUUUAAACUUUUAAUAUAUCUUAAGAUAUGCAAUUACAAUGUGAUUAUUUAAAAAAAAAUUAUAUAAUUAAGAUAUAAUUAUGUUUUUCUUAUAUUAUUAUUUUUCUUAUAUAUAGGGUUAACUAAAUAUUUUUUUGAAACAAAAAAAACUCAAUAUACUGAUUUUAUUUUUUUAUUAAAAAGAAGAAUUAAUUUCUUUCUAAUCUCGAGAUCAUAUAUGUAAAAUAUUAUUUAUUUUUUUUCUGUAAUUAUAAAAUAUUAUAGACAACUAAAUAUAUAUGAAAAAUAAAAGAACAUUUCAGUAAUACUAAUUAUAAGUUUUGUUUUGGUAGCAUUAAUUUGUGAGGAAAUAUAUAUUUUAACUGUCUGGCUAUUAUAUAUUCCGUAGGACCAAAAAAAUUAAUUUUGAAAAUAUAUCCCUGUGUGUAAUAAUUAUAGUUGGAAAUACAUGUAUCUUAUUACAAUUUAUAGAUUCUUUUGUAAAGUUCUAAAGAACGUAUGCCAUAAAUUAAAAUUGCAUGUCUUACAGUGACAUCUCACAUGCAACACAUUCCUCAAAGAAUCUACCAACUUCAGGAAGAUAUUUCAGUGCGUCCUAUCACGGUAUGUAUAAGAAGUGUUUGAGACAUCAGAAAACACCAAACAGAUAAUACUUAAAUUUGCAUCGACUUCAUGUGCUACGAUCACCACGUAAGCCUUUUAUUAACUUUAACAUAUACAUAUAUAUAUAUAUAUAUAUAUAUAUAUAUAUUUUCCAAUCCACCAUAUUUGAUUUAAACUACUCACUAUUUACUUAAUUAGUUCGGCACAACAAAAUUUGUUCACAUUCAGGGACAACUAUUAGAAGGUCGGCUCACCGGAAACAUUCAGCCGAAUGACCCAAAAAAUUUAACUGAAGGAGAUAUAUAUGAGUUUUCAGGAUUUUCUGUCAUACAUAAUUCACGACAUCGGAAACUGACCCAACUGUUAUAUUACAUUCAGAUCGACCAAAAGACAAUAACAUUGAAAGUUACAGACAUCAGUCCAAUAUUUCCAAUUCACAAUUUCUCUCCUUAGAAUUACAAAAAUCUAUUGCGCUUAGCCACUACACCCACCUGCGUACCAGGUAAGUAAGUUAGCCCAGUAUCAAUUAAAAAAACAUGGAUGUUUAUUCUAACUUAAAAUCAAUGUGCAGAUGUCGUCGGGUAGAUACUCAUAAUACAAAAAAUAAAUCCUUACCACCCAGAACUCAAUACUGAUGCCACGAUUGGUCUACGGCUGAACAUGUAAGUCUAACACAAUAGGUAAAAAAAAUAAUAAUUCUCUUCAUACAUACACCUCUAUCUCAGGUCGACAAUGGUUAAACUCAUACUGUUUGACAAGCAAGCAUCAGAUUUUAGCAUCCUACAAAGCAAGAAGAAUAGGAAAUUUAAAGUUGUUAUCAUCACAAGCAUAAUUCCUAAACUUUUCUAAGGUAAAUAAUUUUAUUAAACACGUCAAAAAAUAAUAGAUCUAAAUUUUUUUUAUCAACAGAACAAUAAUAUCCAAUAUUUUUCAUGCAAAAUACUACUCAGUUCAUCACCAGCAACAAAUUUCUACUUCAACAAAUCAAUUGAUUACAUAAAGCAUUUCAAAGGGCGAAUAAGAGAUCAUGCAAAAGCAUGUAUCAAAGAGUGACUUUAAUUCAUGAAUCAUUCGGAUUAUUAUUCUCUUUCCCAGAAGUUGAGUUUUAGAUUUUAUAUAGAAGUAGAGAUUUAAAAAAAACAAUGAUAAAAUUGUUUAAAAUGUAAAUAAAUCUAGGUAUCAAGUUCUGUGAGAAAGAGAAUAAUAAUCCGAAUGAUGCAUGAAUUAAAGUCACUCUUUGCUGCAUACUUUUGCAUGAUCUCUUAUUCGCCCUUUGAAAUGCUUUAUGUAGUCAAUUGAUUUGUUGAAGUAGAAAUUUGUUGCUGGUGAUGAACUGAGUAGUAGUUUUCAUGGAAAAUAUUGGAUAUUAUUGUUGUGUUGAUAAAAAAAAUUUAGAUCUGUAUUAUUUUUUGAGUGUUUAAUAAAAUUAUUUACCUUGAAAAAGUUUAGGAAUUAUGCUUGUGAUGAUGACAACUUUAAAUUUCCUAUUUUUCUUGCUUUCUAGGAUGCUAAAAUCUGCUGCUUGCUUAUCGCACAGUAUGAGUUUAACCAUUGUCGACCUGAGAUAGAUGUGUAUGUAUGAAGAGAAUUAUUAUUUCGUUUUACCUAUUGUGUUAGACUUACCUGUUCAGCCGUAGACCAAUCAUGGCAUCAGUAUUAAGUUCUGGGUGGUACCGAUUUAUUUUUUGUAUUAUGAGUAUCUGCCCGACGACAUCUGCACAUUGAUUUUGAGUUAGAAUAAACAUCUAUGUUUGUUUAAUUGAUACUGGACUAACUUACCUGGUAAGUAGGUGGGUGUAGUGGCUAAGCGCAAUAGAUUUUUAUAAUUCUGAGGAGAGAGAAAUUGUGAACUGGAAAUAUUUGACCGAUGUUUGUAACUUUUAAUGUUAUUGUCUUUUGGUCGAUCUGAAUGUAAUAUGGCAGUUGGAUGAGUUUCCGAUGUCGUGAAUUAUGUAUGACAGAAAAUCCUGAAAACUCAUAUAUAUCUCCCUUAGUUAAAUUUUUUGGAUCAUUCGGCUGAAUGUUUCCGGUGAGCUGACCUUCUAAUAGUUGUCCCUGAAUGUGAACAAAUUUUGUUGUGCCGAACCAAUUAAGUAAAUAGUAAGUAGUUUAAAUCAAAUAUGGUGGAUUGGAAAAUAUAUGUAUAUGUUAAUAAAAGGCUUACGUGGUGGUCGUAGCAUAUGAAGCCGAUGCAAAUUUGAGUAUUAUCUGUUUGAUGUUUUCUGAUGUCCCAAACACUUCUUAUACAUAUCGUGAUAGGACGCACUGAAAUCCCUUCCUGAAGUUGAUGGAUUCUUUGAGUAAUGUGUUGCAUGUGAGAUGUCACUGUAAAACAUGCGAUUUUAAUUAAAGGCAUACGUUCUUUAGAACUUUACAAAAGAAACUAUAAAUUGUAAUAAGAUACAUGUAUUCCAACUAUAAUUAUUACACACAGGGAUAUAUUUUCAAAAUUAAUUUUUUUUGGUCCUACGGAAUAUAUAAUAGCCAAAACAGUUAAAAUAUAUAUUUUCUCACAAAUUAUAUGGAUCCUUUAAGCAGCAUUGAAAUUGAUGGUGUACCAAUUUCUCAGAGUGAUGAUCCGACCAUGAAGAGCUCACAAGCAGUGACGAAGUUUCUCCCGCUGAUGAUUGGCUAUUUUGCACUAUCAGUUCCUUCUGGUUUAAGUCUUUACUGGUGAGAGCUCACCAGCAGCUGGUCUUGUAUAUCUUCCUGUGGGGAGUGAACUUCCCACUUGUUUUUCUUCUCACAUUUGAAGAGUACGUUUACAGGUUGACCAACAACAUUUUGAGCACAGCACAGCAAGUAUGGCUUCAAAAAUAUGGUGGUGCCAAAAAUCCAAUGGAGAAGCUCACUAAUUUGGUCACCAAGGAAGACAAAACUCAAAAAGUUGACAAGUCUAUUUCACAACUAGUUCAGAAGUCUGUCUCAGAGCUGAAAAUACCAAGAGACAAGGGUAGUGAAAAAGUGACCUCAGAAGGGCCCAAACCUGGUGAAAGGUGUGACUAAAUAUUCUGAAACCUCUCUAAUUCGUUACUAGAACCUAUUUGUUGUUUUUUAACACAUCGGUGUGAUUCCCAGGUUUAGGCUGCUCAAAGAGCAAGAAGCAAAGAGACGACGAGAGAAAGAAGAGGAGAGGCAGAAAGCUGAAGCAGCUCUGUCAAAUCAAAAUACAGACAGCGCACAGGAACAUGAGGGAAAAUCUGACACAGGUGCGGAAGAAACAGGUGAUGGCUCUGCCGCUGUGAAUGGGUAGCAUUCCAUUCAAAAGGACGAGAUUACUAAUGGGAAACUCAGCGUUGGCCAUGAUGCAGAGAAACAACAUUCUCAUGAAACAUAGAAGUGGUUAACAAACACCUAAAGGCAGAUUGAGGAAAAGUGAUCUUUCAGGUUUUAGUAUUUGUGCAGAAAGAAAUGG